rnacentral:lncRNA from 1 species
CUGUUUAAAAAGAAAGCCUUAUAUUAUAUUAUGUGCUACCUUGAGAUCAUCUUGCCCUCACCCUUGUCUUUUUGUAGCUGCUACUGAGGCAACCAGCAGUUUGUGGACUCUCACCAGCACAUGCAGAACCAACAUGGCCAUGCUUCUGGCAGAUCAUGCUGCAGACCUCUCAUCUCCUCUCUGGGGUUUUCUGCUGUAUAUGUACAUGUGCAGUUCAGUGCCCAGCUCAGAAGCAUGCAGGAGUUAACACACCUGAUGAGAGAGAUUCUGAUUAGUAAGUUUGGGAAGAAGCCUCAUACACUUGAAUCAUUUCCUUACAUAUGAGAUGACAUCAAAGAGAGAAAAAGUCAACAGACAAUGACAAGAAAAGAAAUUAAAGGCUAUUCUACACUGUUGAACAUAAAUCACUGGAGAACUUGUAAUACAAAUAAAUUAGAUGAGUAUCUGAAAAAACA